AUGUGCAUGUCACUUUCACUUUAUAUCCAUUAGGAAGAGUGACAAGAUAUGGUACAAUUAAAGGUGUGAGAUUGAAGAGUAAAUCUUUAUUAAAGGUCAUAUGGUUAGAUGCCCCUGAGUCUAUUAUCCAGGUGGCAGAAUUAAUGUGAGUAACAUGCAAAAUUUGGAAUCAGAAACAGGGCUCUCAGUUAGCAUAAUACCAGCAAAAUUGGCAGCAUACAUGGGAGGAUGAGACUGGGUAGUGGAGUACCCUAACUGAGUUUGUUGCAGCAGGGUCAUCAAUUAUUCAUAAUGUUGUCUGCUCAACCCAGGUAUCACAUAACUCUGGCCAUCAAUGUGUGGAACAGGUUGAUGACUUUCAGGAGGAUUUCCAUGAGGAAUAGACAUAUUUCUUUCAGAAGAAGGGAAAUCCACACCAGCAGUUAUAUGAGCAGCAGCAGGUCUCCUUCCCUUGUUAAAUGUUGUACUUUGU
rnacentral:lncRNA from 1 species